CUACUAAAUGCAUUUAAUAUACAUUUAAACUACAAUACAUUCUUAUUUAAUUGCAAAUAACAUGCAAUAAAGAGUAUGAAAACAUCACAUUCAGAUAUAUUCUUUUAUAUUUUAGAAAGGAAAAAAGGAAACUACAAUCUUCUACAAAUGAAUCAAAUAUGACUGUUAUGAGUCACUAUGAGUACGCACAGAAUGCAACACAAUAAUAUGCAAAGAGUAACCCGGAUGCCACAUGAAAUCGACAGUUCAGGAGGCAAAACAGUUGGCCAUGCCACGUGGAAGACAAAGGGUAUUUUAUAUGCAAUCUUAUAUGCACAUAAUGCAGAAUGAAAAGUUAUUUUCUAUGGAAAAUUUAAACCGAAACCUACAAUAUUACAGUGAUGAACUUCCUUUAUUGCUGAAUGGUGUGUUGGUGAAUUUUGAUAGUGUUUGAAAGUGUGUUUAGCAUUAGCCUGUGUGGCUAGGUCUCGUGGGCAAGGCGAAUGUUUGUGUUUUGGUUUUAAAAACCUGAUGUCAUCAUCAUAUUGUGGAGGACAGUGAUAGAACAAAAAGAUCAGUGUUACUAUUUGGUUAAUGUCAUUGUAAGUUUCUGGUCAAGUCCUUUGCCUAAUCAAAUAUGUUUUAGAUGGGAUGGAGGACAGGCACAUCCAACAGAUCAGAGCACAGUGCAAUCAGAUAAAUAUCGAAUCAGUAGGGGCUUCUGGAUUGUUUAGCAUGAAUUUUGGAUUGCUAAGGUCAUGCUUAGGAAAUGUUUAGUAAUUGGAAUAAUUCUUGAGUCUAAAAAUAUUUAGCUAUAUCCUCUGGUUCGCCGUUUUUAAACUUUCAUUUUUUUUCUUUUCAGGUCCCAGUCCAAUGUGAAGACACUGUAUGUUUGUUUUGGUUUAUUAAGAUAUAUAUAGAUAUGUAAAUAAAAUAUCUGCUUAAACACUUGCAAAUUUUAGAUAAUGUUUGAAACUCUGCAGAUUUCAGUUCAGUGUCAGGAUGACCAAUUCGGGUUGGAUGCUGAAGUGGUUUAUGAUGAAAAAAUUUUUCCCUUACGAAGGUGCAAUCCAUUUGUGACUGAGUCAUAUCACAGGGGACGAGUUCCUGGGCAGAAUCAGGAUACUGGUGUGUCUCCAGGAUUCAUAGCACCUGAUGGCAUGGGCGGCAAUGGCCAAGAGCUGAUGAACAGAGAUGAACGCUAUAAAAAAGAGAAGCGUGUGCAUCCAAAGGGAAAGAAGAAAAAGGUUAAGAGAGGCGAGAACACAGCUUCACCAUUAAAGAGGAAAAUCAUCCAGUCAGCAUCUGACAGUAACAAAAUGUGAUUUGAUUAAUAAGAUAAAUAACACCUAUUUUCUUGUUUAAAGUGAUAGUUCACCCAAAAAUUCUGUCAUUAAUUACUCACCCUCAUGUUGUUUCAAACCCGUAAGACCUUUGUUCACCUUUGGGACACAAACUAAGUUAUUUUUGAUGAAAUGCGAGAGCUGUCUGACCCUGAAUAGACAGCAACAGAACUAUCACGUUCAAGCCCAGAAAGGUAGUAAGAAGAAUCAUUAAAAUAGUCCAUGUGGCAUCAGUGAUGGACAGCGUUGCUGUCUAUGCAGGGUCAGAAAGCUCUCGGAUUUUAUCGAUAGCUUAGUUUGUGUUCUGAAGAUGAAUGAAGGUCUUACAGGUUUGGAACGACACAAGGGUAAUUAAUUACAGAAUUUUCAUUUUUGGGUGAACUGUCCCUUUAACGUAGCAUACACACUGCUUUUCUAUAAGCUUAAGCAGCACUUAAAAGCUUUAUAAACUUUGAAUCUAUAACUCUAACUUUCUGUACUCUUUAAAUAUAUUCUUUCAAAAGGACAAUAAAAGCUGUCAUUCAUUAUCGUAAAUGGAAAAG
ensembl:lncRNA